rnacentral:rRNA from 1 species
UACAGGGGGGGCAAGCGUUGUUCGGAAUUACUGGGCGUAAAGGGCUCGUAGGUGGCCAACUAAGUCAGACGUGAAAUCCCUCAGCUUAACUGGGGAACUGCGUCUGAUACUGGAUGGCUUGAGUUUGGGAGAGGGAUGCGGAAUUCCAGGUGUAGCGGUGAAAUGCGUAGAUAUCUGGAGGAACACCGGUGGCGAAGGCGGCAUCCUGGACCAAUUCUGACGCUGAGGAGCGAAAGCCAGGGGAGCAAACGGG